GCCUUGUACACACCGCCCGUCACACCAUGGGAGUGGGUUGCAAAAGAAGUAGGUAGCUUAACCUUCGGGAGGGCGCUUACCACUUUGUGAUUCAUGACUGGGGUGAAGUCGUAACAAGGUAACCGUAGGGGAACCUGCGGUUGGAUCACCUCCUUACCUUAAAGAAGC
rnacentral:rRNA from 3 species